UACGAAGGGUGCAAGCGUUAAUCGGAAUUACUGGGCGUAAAGCGUGCGUAGGUGGUUUCUUAAGUCUGCUGUGAAAGCCCUGGGCUCAACCUGGGAAUGGCGGUGGAUACUGAGGAGCUAGAGUGCGGUAGAGGAGGGUGGAAUUCCCGGUGUAGCGGUGAAAUGCGUAGAUAUCUGGAGGAACACCGGUGGCGAAGGCG
rnacentral:rRNA from 1 species